AUGAACGCUGGCGGCGUGCCUAAUACAUGCAAGUCGAGCGAACAGACGAGGAGCUUGCUCCUCUGAUGUUAGCGGCGGACGGGUGAGUAACACGUGGAUAACCUACCUAUAAGACUGGGAUAACUUCGGGAAACCGGAGCUAAUACCGGAUAACAUGUUGAACCGCAUGGUUCAACAGUGAAAGACGGUCUUGCUGUCACUUAUAGAUGGAUCCGCGCCGCAUUAGCUAGUUGGUAAGGUAACGGCUUACCAAGGCAACGAUACGUAGCCGACCUGAGAGGGUGAUCGGCCACACUGGAACUGAGACACGGUCCAGACUCCUACGGGAGGCAGCAGUAGGGAAUCUUCCGCAAAGGGCGAAAGCCUGACGGAGCAACGCCGCGUGAGUGAAGAAGGUCUUCGGAUCGUAAAACUCUGUUAUUAGGGAAGAACAAAUGUGUAAGUAACUAUGCACGUCUUGACGGUACCUAAUCAGAAAGCCACGGCUAACUACGUG
rnacentral:rRNA from 1 species